GAUGAACGCUAGCUACAGGCUUAACACAUGCAAGUCGAGGGGUAGCAGGGUAGCAAUACCGCUGACGACCGGCGCACGGGUGAGUAACACGUAUCCAACCUUCCCAUAACUCGGGGAUAGCCUUUCGAAAGAAAGAUUAAUACCCGAUAGUACUUUUUCAAGGCAUCUUGAGAAAGUUAAAGAUUUAUUGGUUAUGGAUGGGGAUGCGUUCCAUUAGAUAGUUGGUGAGGUAACGGCUCACCAAGCCUUCGAUGGAUAGGGGUUCUGAGUGGAAGGUGCCCCACGUUGGUACUGAGACACGGACCAAACUCCUACGGGAGGCAGCAGUGAGGAAUAUUGGUCAAUGGGCGAGAGCUUGAACCAGCCAAGUAGCGUGAAGGAUGAAGGUCCUAUGGAUUGUAAACUUCUUUUAUAGUAGAAUAAAGUGAUCCACGUGUGGAUUUUUGUAUGUAUACUAUGAAUAAGGAUCGGCUAACUCCGUGCCAGCAGCCGCAGUAA
rnacentral:rRNA from 1 species